rnacentral:rRNA from 1 species
GACGAACGCUGGCGGCGUGCUUAACACAUGCAAGUCGAACGGAAAGGCCCUGCUUUUGUGGGGUGCUCGAGUGGCGAACGGGUGAGUAAAACGUGAGUAACCUGCCCUUGACUUUGGGAUAACCUCCGGAAACCGGGGCUAAUACCGGAUAGGAGCUCCUGCUGCAUGGGGGGGGGUGGAAAGUUUCGGCGGUUGGGGAUGGACUCGCGGCUUAUCAGCUUGUUGGUGGGGUGGUGGCUUUCCAAGGCCUUGACGGGUAGCCGGCCUGAGAGGGUGACCGGCCACAUUGGGACUGAGAUACGGCCCAGACUCCUACGGGAGGCAGCAGUGGGGAAUAUUGCACAAUGGGCGGAAGCCUGAUGCAGCAACGCCGCGUGCGGGAUGACGGCCUUCGGGUUGUAAACCGCUUUCGCCUGUGACGAAGCGUGAGUGACGGUAAUGGGUAAAGAAGCACCGGCUAACUACGUG